GACAGAGGUGCCAAGCGUUAGGCGGAAUCACUGGGCUUAAAGCGUGUGUAGGCGGAAUUGUAAGUACCUUGUGAAAUCCCACGGCUCAACCGUGGAACUGCUCGGUAUACUGCUUUUCUUGAGCCACUUAGGGGCUGUCGGAACAAACGGUGUAGUGGUGAAAUGCGUAGAUAUCGGGAGGAAUACCAGUGGCGAAGGCGGCUGCCUGGCCUGUUCUUGACGCUGAGGCGCGAAAGCUGGGGGAGCAAACGGG
rnacentral:rRNA from 1 species